UACGUAGGUGGCAAGCGUUAUCCGGAAUUACUGGGCGUAAAGCGCACGCAGGCGGUCUUUUAAGUUUGACGUGAAAGCUCUCGGCUUAACUGGGAGAGGUCGUUGAAUACUGGGAGACCUGAGGAAAUGAGAGGGGUGUAGAAUUCCUGGUGUAGUGGUGGAAUGCGUAGAUAUCAGGAGGAAUACCAGUGGCGAAAGCGGCACCCUAGCAUUUUUCUGACGCUCAUGUGCGAAAGCGUGGGGAGCGAACGGG
rnacentral:rRNA from 1 species